rnacentral:tRNA from 1 species
AAGGCACCAGCUCAGCAGGUAGAGCACCCGAUUCGGGAUCGGGAGGUCCGGGGUUCGACUCCACGGUGUCCGA